GCUUACGGCCAUACCACUCUUACAAAGCCCGAUCUCAUCUGACCUCGGAAGCAAAGCAAAGUUGGGCCUGGUUAGUACUUGCUUGGGAGACUGAAUUGGAAUACUAGGUGCUGUAAGCU
ensembl:rRNA 5S_rRNA 5S ribosomal RNA